UAGCUAGUUGGUAGGGUAAAGGCCUACCAAGGCGACGAUCGGUAGCUGGUCUGAGAGGAUGACCAGCCACACUGGAACUGAGACACGGUCCAGACUCCUACGGGAGGCAGCAGUGGGGAAUAUUGGACAAUGGGGGCAACCCUGAUCCAGCAAUGCCGCGUGUGUGAAGAAGGCCUGAGGGUUGUAAAGCACUUUCAGUGGGGGGGAGGAUACUUAGGUUAAGAGCUAGAGUAUUGGACGUUACCCACAGAAGAAGCACCGGCUAACUCCGUGCCAGCAGCCGCGGUAAUACGGAGGGUGCGAGCGUUAAUCGGAAUUACUGGGCGUAAAGGGUGCGUAGGUGGUUAAUUAAGUUAUCUGUAAAAUCCCCGGGCUCAACCUGGGCAGGUCAGAUAAUACUGGUUAACUCGAGUAUAGGAGGGGGUAGUGGAAUUUCCGGUGUAGCGGUGAAAUGCGUAGAGAUCGGAAGGAACACCAGUGGCGAAGGCGGCUACCUGGCCUAAUACUGACACUGAGGCACGAAAGCGUGGGGAGCAAACAGGAUUAGAUACCCUGGUAGUCCACGCUGUAAACGAUGUCAACUAGCUGUUGGUUAUAUGAAUAUAAUUAGUGGCGC
rnacentral:rRNA from 1 species